GCUGGAACAUUCCAUAAUCCAAAUGGUGCGACCCGAGCCGUCCAUCGCCUGACGAUUCGUCGUCUAUCCUGGCCGUCGCAUCGAACAAUGGAUGGAAAGCACUAUAGCUUGUCCGCUUUGCUUGACUGGAUAUCGACAUUCUUGGCGCAUUCUAUCCGAGACUAGGGCAUGACUUGUUGAUGCGAUCGAUCACCCGGCGCUUCUCCGGACAGGACGAUCCCGCACUAGCGCUGGUCCAGGGCUUGAAAUCUUGCGGCUGCGCGCAAGAUUUGGAGGCGCUACACGCCGGCAUUCUUGGAUCCGAGCAUUGCCACGACAGGUUUGUGUGCAAUCACUUGAUCGAGGCGUAUGGCCGCUGCGGGCUACCCGGAAGAGCGCGCGAGGUCUUGGAUGGGAUUCGCAAUGCGAAUCUCCACUCGUGGAACAUCAUGGUCCAGGCAUAUGCACAGAACGGGCUUGUGGAGGAGGCCAGAUCGCUGUUUGGAUCGAUGCCGCGGCGGGAUUUCAUCUCCUGGGGAAGCGUGAUGAACGCUCACGCGCAGGCUGGGGAUUUUGGAUCGUGCCUGGAGGUCUUUCGCAGGUGCCCACAGCUGGAUGUGGUCGCGUGUAGCUCGAUGCUCGCAGCGUAUGCCCAGGCAGGGCAUCUGGAAGAAGCAAAGGCAUUGUUUGAGAGGAUGGAAUCCAGGAAUGCGGUGUCUUGGGCGGCUCUGAUAGCUGCUCACGAUCAACAGAAGAACUGCGAGCACGCAGAGAUAAUUCUAAUCCUGAUGCCGGAGCAUAGCUUUCCGGCCUGGAACAGUGCUAUGACCGUCUAUGCCCAUGCCGGGCAUCUCUCCAAGGCCAAGAGUUUGUUCGACGAGAUGCCCGAGAGGAACUUGAUCAUCUGGACGCUGCUGCUUGGCUGCUAUGCUCGAAACGGUGAAGUUGGACUGGCCAGAGGCGCUCACGCGAGGAUGCCAGAGUGGGACGUGGUUUCCAACGAUGCAAUGCUCACGGCACUGGUCUUGGCUGGAAGCUCGUAUCUAGCGGAGGCCAAGGAGAUGUUCGUGAGAUUGGAGGAGCGGAGCUUGGUGUCGUGGAACGUCAUGGUUUCAGCGGUUUCACAGAGCGAUCAAGUGGAUGCUGCGAGAACGAUGUUUGAUAGAAUGCCACAGUGGGUCGUUUCUUCGUGGAACAUCAUGGUUUCAGGCUACACUCACGCUGGUCGCCUGGAUGAAGCAGUGUCUAUGUUCCAGAGCAUGCCGGGGCGAGACCAGCUCUCCUGGAACGCCAUAGUCACGGCAUUUACUCAGCUCGACUGCUCGAAAGAGUUUCUUACGCUCUUCCAUCUAAUGCCGGUGUGGAACCUGGUGACUUUCACUUGUGCUAUGGGAGUAUAUGCGCUGAAGGGUGACACCGAAACGGCCCUGAGCAUAUUUGUCAACAUGCCACAGCAAGAUUCGACUUCGUGGACUGCCAUCAUCGGAGGCUUUGCUCAGAACGGGCAGUUUGAUAAAGCUCUGGAGCUUCUGUCUCUCAUGAGCUCCGAAGGCGUCGAGGCAGACGAGGUGACGUUCAUAGGUGUUCUUCUGGCAUGCAGUCACCGGGGAUUGAUCGAACAAACUUGCAAGCAGUUCCAGUCCAUGAUUGUGGACUAUGGAGUGCGGCCGAUGUUACGGCACUAUCACUGUGUGAUUGACGGAUUUGCUCGAGCAGGCCGGAUAGAAGUCGCUGAAGAACUUCUUGAGUCGAUGCCUUUCAUGCCGAGUGAAGCAGCAUGGAUGAGUUUACUGGGUGCAUGCAACGUACAAGGGGAUGAGAAACGAGUUCUAAGUAAAGGUUUACUGUCAAGCAAUUACGUUGGUGAUCACGACUAUGAGGUGUAGCGAUGGAAGCAAAAGCAGGUGGAGUUUCUAAGUUCUCAGGCCAUUUUUCUAGUAGCCUUCGAGCCUUUACUGCGUGAAACUGGAGCGAUAACUGAGACGUUGGCUG